GUCAAGCGUGCCGCUGCGGCUCAGUGGCUCGGGGCAGGUGCGGCGCUAUUAGCGUAGUCGGGUCCGGUCUUCUUCAGUCCGGACACGGUCAGCAAGCGGCCGCUUCGUGGAACAGAGAGGUGCAUUGCCAGGUUCCUGAUGAACCCAGAGAACCCUCCACCAUAUCCGGGCCCCGGGCCAACAGCCCCAUACCCACCUUAUCCACAACAGCCAAUGGGGCCUAUGGGAGCCCCACCUCCUCAGGGGUACCCCUACCCACCACCUCAGGGGUACCCCUAUCAAGGAUACCCACAGUACGGAUGGCAGGGUGGACCUCAGGAGCCUCCUAAGACCACAGUGUACAUUUUGGAACGGGAAAGGAAGACGAACACGGAUGCUGGGUGUCAGGCAGUCCUGGCUGCAUGCUGGGCCGCGCUCUGCUGCUGCUGCCUCCUGGACAGCUUGGACUGAGUAACCAAGACCCAGUUCUCUCACAGCCGCUGCUGUUCCCGCUGCUGGAAUAAACAACUAGUGUUACACAAGUAA
rnacentral:lncRNA from 1 species